UGAAGAGUUUGAUCAUGGCUCAGAUUGAACGCUGGCGGCAGGCCUAACACAUGCAAGUCGAACGGUAACAGGAAGCAGCUUGCUGCUUUGCUGACGAGUGGCGGACGGGUGAGUAAUGUCUGGGAAACUGCCUGAUGGAGGGGGAUAACUACUGGAAACGGUGGCUAAUACCGCAUAACGUCGCAAGACCAAAGAGGGGGACCUUCGGGCCUCUUGCCAUCAGAUGUGCCCAGAUGGGAUUAGCUUGUUGGUGAGGUAACGGCUCACCAAGGCGACGAUCCCUAGCUGGUCUGAGAGGAUGACCAGCCACACUGGAACUGAGACACGGUCCAGACUCCUACGGGAGGCAGCAGUGGGGAAUAUUGCACAAUGGGCGCAAGCCUGAUGCAGCCAUGCCGCGUGUAUGAAGAAGGCCUUCGGGUUGUAAAGUACUUUCAGCGGGGAGGAAGGUGUUGUGGUUAAUAACCGCAGCAAUUGACGUUACCCGCAGAAGAAGCACCGGCUAACUCCGUGCCAGCAGCCGCGGUAAUACGGAGGGUGCAAGCGUUAAUCGGAAUUACUGGGCGUAAAGCGCACGCAGGCGGUCUGUCAAGUCGGAUGUGAAAUCCCCGGGCUCAACCUGGGAACUGCAUUCGAAACUGGCAGGCUUGAGUCUUGUAGAGGGGGGUAGAAUUCCAGGUGUAGCGGUGAAAUGCGUAGAGAUCUGGAGGAAUACCGGUGGCGAAGGCGGCCCCCUGGACAAAGACUGACGCUCAGGUGCGAAAGCGUGGGGAGCAAACAGGAUUAGAUACCCUGGUAGUCCACGCCGUAAACGAUGUCUACUUGGAGGUUGUGCCCUUGAGGCGUGGCUUCCGGAGCUAACGCGUUAAGUAGACCGCCUGGGGAGUACGGCCGCAAGGUUAAAACUCAAAUGAAUUGACGGGGGCCCGCACAAGCGGUGGAGCAUGUGGUUUAAUUCGAUGCAACGCGAAGAACCUUACCUGGUCUUGACAUCCACAGAACAUUCCAGAGAUGGAUUGGUGCCUUCGGGAACUGUGAGACAGGUGCUGCAUGGCUGUCGUCAGCUCGUGUUGUGAAAUGUUGGGUUAAGUCCCGCAACGAGCGCAACCCUUAUCCUUUGUUGCCAGCGGUCCGGCCGGGAACUCAAAGGAGACUGCCAGUGAUAAACUGGAGGAAGGUGGGGAUGACGUCAAGUCAUCAUGGCCCUUACGACCAGGGCUACACACGUGCUACAAUGGCGCAUACAAAGAGAAGCGACCUCGCGAGAGCAAGCGGACCUCAUAAAGUGCGUCGUAGUCCGGAUUGGAGUCUGCAACUCGACUCCAUGAAGUCGGAAUCGCUAGUAAUCGUGGAUCAGAAUGCCACGGUGAAUACGUUCCCGGGCCUUGUACACACCGCCCGUCACACCAUGGGAGUGGGUUGCAAAAGAAGUAGGUAGCUUAACCUUCGGGAGGGCGCUUACCACUUUGUGAUUCAUGACUGGGGUGAAGUCGUAACAAGGUAACCGUAGGGGAACCUGC
rnacentral:rRNA from 2 species